UAAGUAAAAGUCAGUCUUACCGUUAGUAGGCCUCAUUCACGAAGCUGGUCUAUAAGGGGUGUUUAAGGAAAUUGCCUAUAAAAUGGCGAUUGAAUGGGUAUCCACUCUUACCCACCGCACUCUUGACUAUUGGAUGGUCGUUAGCCGAACGGGUAGGAUAGGACGAAACCUUCCAUUAUAAGUAUAAUGAAUUACUAAAGUAACUAAAUGUUUUUAAAAUUACACUUUGUGCCCUUGCGAAGACGUUAGUGGAGCGUGUGUGGUUUACCGGCACACUAAAUGGUUCUAAGCAAAGGUAGCAAAGGGUGACUCAAUGUUUGUCAUAGUUCGGUGGAGCGUAUGUGGUUUACCGGCACAUCGAAUAGGUGACUGUAACAUGUGAGGGCACCAUGUAAGUUUGCAUGGUUAUUCACACCCGCUUUGUGAUCCUCGGCAUCCCAGUCACAAACAAGAGGGGCAUAUCUAGAUUUAAACAUGCCAUUGAAAUGUUCAAUGAAUCUCAUAGGAUCUAGGAGUUUUCAUAGAUUUAAAACUUAAAAUUUCUUUUUCGUUUUUCAUGGUGGAAAUUAAUGAAUCGUCAUUCACUUACCUUCAAAUGUUCUGCAAUUUGGGUUACGGCAUCCCUCUCCCGAGUUGUAGAAUAUUGUGUUGGGUCCUAGCCUUAGUAUUUCAUUUGGGUGAUUUACUAAGGACUCAAUCAAUCAACUAACUUGAAUUUGUUUUCUCCCGUUUUGUAGAUGUCAAGGUUCGACAACUAUGGUCUUCCCAAAUCCCGUGGAACAAGCUUUCCACAUGAAGAUGAUAUUCCACGAUUCGAUCGAGGAACAAGAGAUCAUACUUCACUUCCUCCUCCUCCUCCAAUUAUUCUCCCUAACCCACAAGUUCGAAGGCUUGAAAAAUUCAAGCUCACUCAAGCCCUUUUGGCAAGUAAACAUAGAGAAGGAAAGUCGGUGUGUGCACACGUCCUAGGGAUGAAGUCACACAUUGAUAGGUUAAGAAUGUUGGGAUUCGUCGUCUGUGAGGAAAUAACUGUUGAUUGGAUUCUUCAGUCACUUUCUAAUUCAUAUAGUGAGUUCGUAAGAGAGUACUAUAUGAUGAACCGCGACGUGACCCUUAUAGAUCUCACCUAUAUGCUUAUUGUUGCUGAAUCAGCAAUGGUUUGACGCAAUUGAAAAGCAAAGUUGAUUGGUGAAUCUGCCUUCAAGACCUCCAUGGAUAUAGACAAUGGCAACGAAAGACUUGCUAUGAUCAAAAGGUUUGAUCAUAAGAGAAAAGCAAUGUCUGAAGUAGUUCCGUGUCCUGUUUCAAGAGAGUCAAUCUGCUUUUAUUGCAAAGAGAAAGGGUAUUGGAGACGAAGCUGCCCCAUUUACCUAAGAGAUCUAAGAGAUGGGAGAGUCGAACCGUAUGGCUCUAAUAUAGGAUCAAAGAAAAGAAAGGAAGCUUAAGGGAAGAAGUGAGCAGAAUCUAACCAUGGAGGAAUGGAUUUCGAUCGCAUUACUUGAAGAUUAGAUUCUUGAGCUACUACUUAGAGUUAGAAUUAGAUUGCUAAGAAAGAUGUAUUAGCAUAGUUUUUCGAUGAAUUGCAUUGUAAGGACAAAUUUUUCCGCAAUAAAAUAAAUUUUGAUUUUAUUUAAUUA